GCUUAUAACUAUAUCCACUUACACCUGUGAACUGUUCUACUACUUGACGCAAGUCGAGUAUUUUUACAAACAAUGUGUAAUGAACGUCGUUUUAUUAUAACAAAAUAAAACUUUCAACAACGGAUCUCUUGGCUCUCGCAUCGAUGAAGAACGCAGCGAAUUGCGAUAAGUAAUGUGAAUUGCAGAAUUCAGUGAAUCAUCGAAUCUUUGAACGCAGCUUGCGCUCUCUGGUAUUCCGGAGAGCAUGCCUGUUUCAGUGUCAUGAAAUCUCAACCACUAGGGUUUCCUAAUGGAUUGGAUUUGGGCGUCUGCGAUUUCUGAUCGCUCGCCUUAAAAGAGUUAGCAAGUUUGACAUUAAUGUCUGGUGUAAUAAGUUUCACUGGGUCCAUUGUGUUGAAGCGUGCUUCUAAUCGUCCGCAAGGACAAUUACUUUGACUCUGGCCUGAAAUCAUGUAGGACUACCCGCUGAACUUA
rnacentral:rRNA from 1 species